rnacentral:rRNA from 1 species
CCUACGGGAGGCAGCAGCAAGGAAUUUUGCGCAAUGGGCGAAAGCCUGACGCAGCAACGCCGCGUGGGGGAAGAAGGCCUUCGGGUUGUAAACCCCUUUUGCGAGGGAAGAAGAUCUGACGGUACCUCGCGAAUAAGCCACGGCUAACUACGUGCCAGCAGCCGCGGUAAUACGUAGGUGGCGAGCGUUGUCCGGAUUUACUGGGCGUAAAGCGCGCGCAGGCGGGCUGGUCAGUCCGGGGUGAAAUCUCACGGCUCAACCGUGAGCGGUCCCCGGAUACUGCCAGUCUUGAGGUGUCUAGAGGAGAGCGGAAUUCCCGGUGUAGUGGUGGAAUGCGUAGAUAUCGGGAAGAACACCAGUGGCGAAAGCGGCUCUCUGGGGACCACCUGACGCUGAGGCGCGAAAGCGUGGGGAGCGAACCGGAUUAGAUACCCUAGUAG